CCCCGUCGGCAAUUGUUCUAGCUACUCCACGAGACACUCUCUCAGAGUCGGGUUGCUUGGGAAUGCAGCCCUAAGUAGGUGGUAAAUCCCAUCUAAGGCUAAAUACUGACGGGAGACCGAUAGCGAACAAGUACCGUGAGGGAAAGAUGAAAAGAACUUUGAAAAGAGAGUCAAAAGUGCUUGAAAUUGUUGAGGGGGAAGGAAUUGGAAGCCGUAAGUGUUCCCUAGCUUAAGUGGGCAACUCUGCCUAUUGUACGCUUGGGAGCCGGUCAGCAUCAGCUAUUGGACCGGGACAACAACUGCUUUAGCAGUGCAUGUCGGCCCAAUGGCUGAGGAAUUGAAAGG
rnacentral:rRNA from 1 species